AGUGGCGCAUCGCUGCUUCGGAUUAAAAGGGAAUCAGGUGAAAGUCCUGGACAGUCCCGCUGCUGUGAAGCUCGUUCAUACUCUCUGGCACAUGCUACUUGCCACUGACCUCUCAGUGAUGAAAGGUUGGGAAGGCGUCAGAGAGUGAGUCAGUCAGAAGACCUGCCAUUCAUUAAA
rnacentral:ncRNA from 1 species